UGGGGAAUCUUGCACAAUGGGCGAAAGCCUGAUGCAGCGACGCCGCGUGAGCGAUGAAGGCCUUCGGGUUGUAAAGCUCUGUGGGGAGGGACGAAUAUGGCAUGGCUAAUAUCCAUGUCGAUGACGGUACCUCCUUAGCAAGCACCGGCUAACUCUGUGCCAGCAGCCGCGGUAAGACAGAGGGUGCAAACGUUGUUCGGAAUCACUGGGCGUAAAGCGCGUGUAGGCGGCUAUGUAAGUCGGACGUGAAAUCCCACGGCUCAACCGUGGAAGUGCGCUCGAAACUGUGUAGCUUGAGUCCUGGAGAGGAAGACGGAAUACUUGGUGUAGAGGUGAAAUUCGUAGAUAUCAGGUAGAACACCAGUGGCGAAGGCGGUCUUCUGGACAGUGACUGACGCUGAGACGCGAAAGCGUGGGGAGCAAACA
rnacentral:rRNA from 1 species